rnacentral:rRNA from 1 species
GAUGAACGCGGCGGCGUGCUUAACACAUGCAAGUCGAACGGGAUCCAUCGGGCUUUGCUUGGUGGUGAGAGUGGCGAACGGGUGAGUAAUGCGUGACCGACCUGCCCCAUGCACCGGAAUAGCUCCUGGAAACGGGUGGUAAUGCCGGAUGUUCCAGUUGAUCGCAUGGUCUUCUGGGAAAGCUUUCGCGGUAUGGGAUGGGGUCGCGUCCUAUCAGCCUGACGGCGGGGUAACGGCCCACCGUGGCUUCGACGGGUAGCCGGCCUGAGAGGGCGACCGGCCACAUUGGGACUGAGAUACGGCCCAGACUCCUACGGGAGGCAGCAGUGGGGAAUAUUGCACAAUGGGCGCAAGCCUGAUGCAGCGACGCCGCGUGAGGGAUGGAGGCCUUCGGGUUGUAAACCUCUUUUAUCGGGGAGCAAGCGUGAGUGAGUUACCCGUGAAUAAG